UCGAGUCAGAGGAGCCUGAGCGGUCCAGAAACGACGGACUGAUGAAGUCAGCCUCGAGGCCGGCCACCAGGACCACACCUAACUGCUCACUGGCCGCUCGCGGCCUGGCCGCUGGCGUCCAGCCCCGGCGGGGAGCAUAUCAAGAAAAAGCAAAGCUCCGCUGUCUCUGAUGCUUCGAAGACCAGCACAGUGCCUGGCACACAGUGGACGCUCGUCCAAUCUGUGAUGGAGUGAGCCGAUGCAGGGAUGGAUGCAUAAAUUAACGGGAGCGAGUGCAGAAUAAAUCUCCAAGAAAGACAUCCACGGACCGCACAGCCGGGCGACGGGCGAGGUUCCAUCCACACUCAGGCUCCACACGAAAUUCAAAUUCUCAUUAGAGUGCAGCAUGAAACACAGCCCGCGCUCGUAACCGCGGCCCUGAGAACGGCGACGGUGGGGGGACCUUUAAUGCCUUCUUCCUAUUGAUUACAGCCCCGAAAAGAAAAAGGAAUGAAAAGAGUGGCUUCAAACGCUUCCCUGUGAAAGGCUAAAAGGAAGCAAAUGCAGCGUGGGACAGCGAGGCCCGAGGGGCUUUCAGUCGCACCACGGCCACCGACUCCGCGCUGGCCGCGCGCCCCAGGACCCGCCGCCGUGCCAACAGACAUUCUGAGUCACCCAAGCAGAUUUAAUGCCAUCGCCACAAUGACUCUCGGCCCUUUCUUCUCAAAACGGCUACAGGGAAGAUUCCGACCUACCUAGGAAAGGAUUUUAAUCAGUUUUGUUCCGGAAAUAACUAUGGAAAUUCGGAUGUUUCCAUUCUGUUGCUUCUGAACAUUAUAUUCUAACAAAUGGCUGAUGAAGCCACUCCCCCCGCCCUUUCCUUUUUUUUUUCCCCAGCCCGUCGGGAGAAAUGACAUGAUUGGCAGCCGUUCUGAAUCCCACAUGGAAAGGUCUGAGUGAAUAAGCAUAUGAAAAGCCAACCAAAAAAAUGAGGCUUUUGAAAAUAAGAAAAACACCAAAAUUGCCCAUCACUCUUCAGGCAGCCUACACUAACCCCCAGGAAGAGUCCUCCCCCCACGGCAUCCAUCUCAGCCCUGCGGGCAGCCCCGGCGAGGCCGCGUGUGCGGGAAGCCUCGGCAAGGUUGUGCGUGCGGUGACCCACAGCAAUGUCCGUAGCUUUCAGACAAGCCUGGGGAGUGCACGGCGCACCAGAGGCGUGAUCCUUAAGACACGCGGAGCCGCAGGGGAGUUAAGACCUGGGGCAGCAUGAACUGAGCCAUACGAAGGGCCGGCGGGCGUUUGGAAGCCCUCACUCAUCCUUUUAUCUCCUCGUUCGACAGUAUUUACUGGCACACAUGCUCUUUGACCUCGGCCAGGACCCCUUAAUGGAAGUGAAGGAAUCAUUUUCAGGGUGAGAAAACUGAGGUUCAUGGAAGAAAUAUUGCCGGCAUCUCUGAGCUACUGAGAAGCAGAAUUGAAUCUGUUGCCCCAUUUUUUCAUGUGCUUUCUGGGGCCUUUUCACCUAAAUGUUGUAAACAUUACAUUGAAAGUUAAAACCUCCAGAGAGCACUUAAAACGUGGACUGAAGCUGACUCUGUGUGUGCCUUUUGCCUCUCAUGUGAACUGCUCGUGGGCCAAGCUGGCGUAAAUGAAAUGUAUUCAGGCGCGAUGAGAAUCUCGGUGUGACUCCUGCACAGGUAUUGACAGUAUGUCUUGCCUUUGCCUGUCAGCUCACACCCUUCUGCAGAGUUGAGGGCAAGAAAAGGGAAGCUGGGGGGCUCUGGGGACCCCCCUAGGAUGUACCCCCAGCCCUGUAAUGGUCGAAGGGCCCUCCUUAGAACAGAUCAUUGGAAAGCAAUGAAUAGAGUCCAGAAUUCUUCUGUGGAACCAUUGGCUUACCCGAAACCAGGGCCCCUCAGUGCCGGCUCUCCUGACGCCUGGAGCCCAGUCAUUCUUUGCUGGGGGCUGUCUGUGCGGGGCAGGAUGCUCACAGCACCCCUGCCUCCUCCCACCAGAUGCUGGUAGCAUCCCCACCCCCAGGGGAGACACAAGUGUCCCCGGACACUGCCAGGUGUCCCCUGGGGGACAGGACCAGCCCAGGUUGGGAACCGCUGUCUGAGGCAGGUGGGAGUCACUCUUUCAGUCCCUGCCCACAGGCAGGCAAUCUCUGGCCAUAUUUCUCUGAAAUGCAUUGUUUCUUGCAAAGAAAAUGCAGCCUGUGCCCAGAGGCCAUUGGGCACACUGGCUCUGUAGCGACCAGAGCCACGCAGUGUGUGCCCCGGGCGUCCCGAGAAACAUUUUGCAGGGACCAUGGAAUCUGACCAUCACAGGAACCCUGUGAGGCAGGUACUCUCAUCACCCGACUUCACAGACAAGCAAGCUGAGGUUUCCCAAAGACUCUCCAGGACCUUAGUACUCAGGGUUCUUUCAGCCUCACACUCAGCUGCCCCCUCUUCUGGCAGAUGCCCCCGCCUUCUAGAAGGCGGAUCUGAACGCCAGACACGGCCAGACCAUGCUAGACAUGACGUUGGAAGCCGUGUCCGUGACACACGCUAGUUGGUUCCUAACCACGUACGCGGGGGUGGGUGAGGGCUUAGGAGGCGGCAGGAGGGAAGUGAACUCUUGGAAUGUUACAGAAGAGCCAGGCCAUUAUCAGCCAGCCAGAAAGCAAAAAAUUGCUGCAAAUGCAAACUGCCUACACCAAGCAACUUAAUUUCCCACAGACCUUACCCCAACGAGCAUCGUUCCGUGUUGAAUGUCUCUGGUAUCAAGAUCUGAGGAUCCCAGCAGGCAGUGCGUGUAUGCACACCAUCAAGGGUGUGAAGGAGGUUUUCUCGAGGGCUCCGAGGCCCGGGCAAAGGGAAGUGAAGUGUUUUGUAAUACUGGGUCGAUAUUUUCAUAUAUUUUGUCCCCCACUGAAACCAGUGCUCUGGAGACAUGAGAUCUCUGCAGUUUGUUAUCCACAGGGGCACCCUGGAGCGUAAGACUGAAGCCCAGUACCGCCAGGAGGGAACCUUGGGGACCUCCCCAUGCUAAUCAGCCGUCCCGUUGCCGCAUUCAGUGCGGACUCACAUGUGUCCCCACGCUCUGAGAUGCUAGGCUGGGCUAGUGGGACAGUCUCCUGGAUGCAUGACCGACAGUCGGUGGUCUCACAGGGGGAGCCCAGUAGAGGCAGGAUUCCCACAUUCCUAAUAAACUGGGUCACCUCCCUAAGCUGCUGCCUCCUGGGGAGACCCCGAGAAAAGGCCAGACGUGGGUGUUUAAAAAUUUCUUGCUACUCUGUCAGCCAUCCGGACACAAAUGUUCACGGGGCCUCAUUCCAGUUAGCGACCAUUCUGUCAGAAGAACGGAAGUCCACUGUCCGGCAAAUAAUUUUCUUUUUUAUGCCCAGAGGAUUUUUCACAUCUGGCAUUUUCAGCGGCGUUCUUUUUCUUCUUCACUUGCAGGGAACCCAGAAGUUGCUUAGACACUGAACCAAGUGGAAAGCAUUGAUCACUGACUUGCUGACAGUGGGCCGUCAUCGGGGUGCCUCGCGGUGGUCCCGCCGCCCACGUCAGAUGGGAGGUAGGGGAGCAGAAAAGUCCCCGUCGGGUGGGGCGCGGGCUCCAGGUGGGGCGGUCGCAGCGCUGACUGGCGCUUCCCUGCCCGGCCCGGGGCCUUGUGCAGCUGCAGCUCCGGGGGCCCCACUGCAGGCUGCACCGCCCAGCACCGUUUGCCCCCGGGACGGAAGGCACAGCCAGAGAUCAAAGGAAAGGCUUUUGAGUCGUGUCCUCGACCCCCGGGGAGGGGACUGAAGGGCAUUUCUAGGAGCAGCAGAGAGAGCUGAGUCACAGAGCAGCCCAGAGGUGCAGCCUGCAGCGGGAGACCCACAGAGGCCUGAGGCCCUGGACCCUGAGCCCUUGGGGGAGGCGGAAAGUCGACAUGGCGCGUCUAGCUUCGGUCCAGUGCUUGCCCUCCACACCUCAGUGCAGGGGCAAGCGGCUGGUGAUCCUCGUGGGCUUCAGAGUAGCAGGAAAGCAGAAAAGGGCCAGGGGCAGCCCACCGACUCCCUGAGCAGGCCGCGGUCCAGCGUGGGGCCAAACAGGAGAAAGAGGCCCUGAACAGGGGUGACGGGGACUGGCAGCAGCACCAGGCGGGCAGUGGACGUCCCGGGAGAUGCUGGCGGGGGUGUCAGGGAGAGGAGAGUGGGCAUCUCUGAACUGAGAUGGAGCCUCAAGACAGAAGUUAAGUUCAAUUAUUUUGAGGGGGAGGUAGUUAGGGCUUUUUGUUUAUUAUUGUAUUUAUUUUAAUGGAGGGACUGGGGAUUGAACCCAGGACCUCAUGGCGGCUAAGCACACGCUCUACCACUGAGCUAUCCCCUCCACGCCUGAAUUACUUUUUGUUCCACCUACUGCACGACUGAGCUCACUGACGAAAUCCGCGCCCCUUUCUGCAUCAGCUCCUCGGUGAGCAUGUCUCCGUCUGAACCUGGGCCACUAGAAAGCUCAGAGCAAACGCACAAUCCUUUCCGCUGUCAGGAACGUGUACUUGGGUCACAAUUUCCUGAUUUCACUUUGUCAUUCUGCUUGUAUUUCUCCUCGGUGUCCUCACCUAUGCUCAAACCAUUGUGCCAUCUUUCACAUUAUGAUUGUCUGACCUGAAUACUAUUUGGAACAAGACAAGGUAUACAUGCACCUGAGACCAUG